GUAUUCUUCUAAGGAAGUUAUUAAUACGUGAAUCACGAGCAUCGAAGCCAAUAUAGAUCAAUCUGCUAACUGCAAGAGCAUCAGUGAACUUGCAACAAUUGUGUUACUUAGUAGGAGAAAAGUAUUACCCAUUGUAGCAAAAUCAAUUAAACAACUAGCCCCAAAGGAAAGAUUAAAUGAUAUAUAAUUCUAAAGCCAAAUUAAGCUAAUUAGUCCCUCAGGUGCUGUGAAGACAGUUCAUUCUUUGUCUCUUAUGCAAGGCAUUAACAAUCGAAAUGUAGGUAAUGCUCAAUGAAACCCAUUAAGAAUGAAAAUGAAGCUGGGGUUGGCAUAAUUUAAAUUGUUAUCAUCUAUGUUACCUUGUACUUGGAUG